rnacentral:tRNA from 1 species
GGGGUGGUAGUCUAGCUUGGUAUGAUACUGGUUUCGGGUGCCAGAGGUCGUGGGUUCAAAUCCCAUCCGCCCCA